AUACUUACUUGGCGUCGGGAAGGUCGUGAUCACGAAGACGGCCUCCCCGGGUGGAGGUGCGGCGCUCAUUGCACUGCGGGUCCGCACUGAAGCUCGCCACUGCCCCAAACUGGGGCGGUGGGGGCGUGCAAUUUUUGGUAGUGAGGGGAUGGGGGUGCGCGCUCGCACUUC